CCCGAAAGAGCCGCUCGCCGUUUGCCGUUGUCUCCCGUCGUCCGAUGCAUGGACACGGGAUUUAUUUUCAGAAGGAAAAGCUGGAGGCGGAGUGUGAUUUGAAUCAUAUCCUCAUUAAAAGCAAAGAAACCCAUCUAGUGCUGAAGACCCUGUCAGAAACUUGUAUGUAAUUAGUUGCUGUGAUUGGGCAGAAUGGCUUCACCGCUGAGUGGAAGAACCAGCCGACCUCGGCCCUCAGUGACUGUGAUUUGAGGAACGGCAUUACACUGUUUCCCCUCUCUGACCAAAGCCAAAGCUGGGGGACAAUGUGAGAAUAUGGAAAUGUUUGCAAGCCAAUUGUAGUCACAAGUUGUGGUCAGCUUGUAGUGUAGUGGUUAAGGUACAUGACUGGGACCCGCAGUGUAGCCACAGUAAGAUCCGCACAGCCGUUGGGCCCUUGAGCAAGGCCCUUAACCCUGCAUUUGCUCCAGGGGAGAAUUGUCUCCUGCUUAGUCUAAUCAACUGUUAUACAUCGCUCUGGAUAAGAGUUUCUGCCACAUGCCAUUAAUGUAAUGUAAUGUAGUGUAGUGUAGUGUAGUGUAGUGUAAUGUAAUGUAAUGUAAUGUAGUCGGAUUGUAGUCUGUCAGGGGGCCUUCUGGAUAUGUGUUGACCCCAAACACUCUUAAUAGACGAAUAAUCAAGCAGCAUUGAGGGCGUUAACAAAAACAUGAUAUUUAAAGCUUACAUAGACUUAAUAGCUAGUUAAUCUUUUCUCCUUGUUGAUCAUUUGAGAAUAUGACAAAAAGCAACUUCCAAAAGCAAUGUCAAACCUACUUAAUGCUUAUGGUUGUAGAACCACUGUAUAAAAAUGGGUCAAGUGUCAUAAAGUUUUAGUUAUUUUUUAUUUUAAAUUAACAUUUUGAUGAAUACGUAUAUUUCUUGAACACCAAAAAUUAUCUCUGAUAAUUGAUUACAAAAUAUAUUACUUGGGUUGUCUGUUGGCAAAACAACUGACUUACUUCAUGUGAGGCUUAAGCAUGCUUGUGGUUGUAUGACUGGAUAAUGCAUAAGCUAUUAUAAACUCUACACAAAGGAGCUUAUUCUGAGCAAAUGAAUCAGAUGUCAGAAACCGCAAUUGUGAGAUAUUGUUUGUUUCUUUCCCCGGUAUAAUCACUGACUCAAACGCAGGUCAAAGCGACAGCGCUGCAGAUGAUGUAGAGACGUUUCGCAGUCACGCAUGAUGGCUCGCUGCUUCACAAGGGCUGGUUGAAAGCAAGGUGUGACAGAUUACCAGGUUAUAAUUGAUCAGCUGAGGGAAUCGCAGUAGGAGGUUAAACCCGGCAGUAGAUUGAUUCAUUCGUUUCUGCUCGUAACCACCACUUGUCAGUGAUAUGAAUGUGUUAAUGGAAUUGCUGGUGAAAACCUGGCAUGUGUGAGCGACUGUUAUGUAAGGCAAGGUUUUUUUAUUUUUUAUUCCUUAAAUCCCAUGUUGACCCAGACUUGGACAGUCCUCUUUGGUGUGCGUGCGUGCAAGCGCAAACAGCUGUGUCCAGCCUGUGUUUCUCAGUAUUUCACAGAUUGUUGGGUAACUUGGAACACAUUGCAUUCCACCACAGACAUUCUUAUCCAGGAGAACAUCAGUGGUACUCUACAGAAAACAUGGCACACAUCUUACGUGAAUGAUUUCUCUUUAAAAACAAAAGUACAUUCCUUGUCAAGGUUCUUCUGUGAUUUCUAGCUGAAUGUAAAAUAAA